GACGGAGGAUGCAAGCGUUAUCCGGAAUGAUUGGGCGUAAAGCGUCCGCAGGUGGCAGUUCAAGUCUGCUGUCAAAGACCGGGGCUUAACUUCGGAAAGGCAGUGGAAACUGAACAGCUAGAGUAUGGUAGGGGCAGAGGGAAUUCCUGGUGUAGCGGUGAAAUGCGUAGAGAUCAGGAAGAACACCGGUGGCGAAGGCGGGUCUCUGGGCAGUAACUGACGCUGAGGAGCGAAAGCGUGGGGAGCAAACAGG
rnacentral:rRNA from 1 species